rnacentral:rRNA from 1 species
UUUGAUCCUCGGCUCAGGAUGAACGCUAGCGGCAGGCUUAAUACAUGCAAGUCGAGGGGCAGCAGCUUUAUAGCAAUAUAGAGGCUGGCGACCGGCAAACGGGUGCGGAACACGUACACAACCUUCCUUGAAUAGGGGGAUAGCCCAUAGAAAUGUGGAUUAAUACCCCGUAAUAUAGCGGUGUGGCAUCACACUGUUAUUAUAGUUUCGGCGAUUCGAGAUGGGUGUGCGGCUGAUUAGGUAGUUGGCGGGGUAAAGGCCCACCAAGCCUUCGAUCAGUAGCUGAUGUGAGAGCAUGAUCAGCCACACGGGCACUGAGACACGGGCCCGACUCCUACGGGAGGCAGCAGUAAGGAAUAUUGGUCAAUGGACGCAAGUCUGAACCAGCCAUGCCGCGUGAAGGAUGAAGGUCCUCUGGAUUGUAAACUUCUUUUAUAGGGGGCGAAAAAAGGNNNUUCUNNNUCACUUGACAGUACCCUAUGAAUAAGCACCGGCUAACUCCGUGCCAGCNGCCGCGGUA